rnacentral:rRNA from 1 species
UUAAGUUUCAAUCUUGCGACCGUACUUCCCAGGCGGCAGACUUAACGGCUUCCCUGCGGCACAGCAUUGGCCAUAAACCAACGCUUCACCGAGUCUGCAUCGUUUACAGCUGGGACUACCCGGGUAUCUAAUCCGGUUUGCUCCCCCAGCUUUCAUCCCUCACUGUCGAACGUGUUCUGGCGGACCGCCUUCGCCACUGGUGGUCUUCCGCGGAUCAAAGGAUUUUACCCCUACACGCGGAGUACCGUCCGCCUCUCCCGCCUCCUAGUCCCGCAGUAUCCUCUGCAGGCCAGCCGUUGAGCGACUGGAUUUAACAGAGGACUUACGGAACCGGCUACGGGUGCUUUAGGCCCAAUAAUCGUCCCGACCACUCGAGGAGCUGGUAUUACCGCGGCGGCUGACACCAGACUUGCCCUCCCCUUAUUC